UGUGUAUAAGGUGGCGAACGGCUGAGUAACAUGUGGGCAACCUGCCCCUUUCAUUGGGAUAACCACGGGAAACCGUGGAUAAUACCGAAUACUUCGAGACUUCCGCAUGGAAUACUCGAGAAAGCUCCGGCGGAGAGGGAUGGGCCCGCGGCCUGUUAGCUUGUUGGUGGGGUAACGGCCUACCAAGGCAAUGAUGGGUAGCUGGGUUGAGAGACCGACCAGCCAGAUUGGGACUGAGACACGGCCCAGACUCCUACGGGAGGCAGCAGUGGGGAAUCUUCCACAAUGGGCGAAAGCCUGAUGCAGCGACGCCGCGUGCGGGAUGAAGGCCUUCGGGUUG
rnacentral:rRNA from 2 species